GACGAACGCUGGCGGCGUGCCUAAUACAUGCAAGUCGAACGAGAGCAACCGGUGCUUGCACUGGCCAAUCUAGUGGCGAACGGGUGAGUAACACGUGGGUAACCUGCCCAUCAGAGGGGGAUAACAUCCGGAAACGGAUGCUAAAACCGCAUAGGUCUUCGAACCGCAUGGUUUGAAGAGGAAAAGAGGCGCAAGCUUCUGCUGAUGGAUGGACCCGCGGUGCAUUAGCUAGUUGGUGAGGUAACGGCUCACCAAGGCCGUGAUGCAUAGCCGACCUGAGAGGGUGAUCGGCCACAUUGGGACUGAGACACGGCCCAAACUCCUACGGGAGGCAGCAGUAGGGAAUCUUCCGCAAUGGACGCAAGUCUGACGGAGCAACGCCGCGUGAGUGAAGAAGGUUUUCGGAUCGUAAAACUCUGUUGUUAGAGAAGAACAAGUGCUAGAGUAACUGUUAGCGCCUUGACGGUAUCUAACCAGAAAGCCACGGCUAACUACGUG
rnacentral:rRNA from 1 species